CCAGAUAGGCGUAAAAUUUAUUUCCUUUUGAAUAAAUAAAUCAUUCCGUUUCGUUACUCACAUUAUGUUGUGUUUUUCUUAUGCAUUAUUUCUAAAUUACAAUCUUCAUACAGUAUCAGUUUAUAGGAGUAUCAAAUAACUUAAAUAAAUAUGUGGUACUGAAUAAUAAAUAGAUGUUGUAUCCAGAAUUAAUAAUUGAUAUUCAAAUGUUUCGCUCCAAACUGUAGUGUGUUUUUCCCGCGGAUUUGCCUACAAUCUUCCAUGGAAAACUCUUGAUGCUUCGUUUCUGGAAUAAAAGAAGAUAAUAUAUUCAGGAGAUGGUCUUUUUGUGGGUCAAAUGUUAAAAUAAAUAUCGAAACACAAAAUAUAAAUAUAAAUAAAU